AGCGGAGGCCUCGCGGCGCUGCUCGUGCGGGACUCGGUGGCGCUCUCGGCGCACCGACGGUGGGUGAUGAUGCUGGAGGCCGAGAACUCCGCGCUCAGGGCAGGAGGAGGAGCCGCCGGCGCGGAGCCCGAGGAGGACGAUGGCGCGGGGCACCGGGUGGCUGCCGCGUGGUGGGUCGCGCUGGUGGUGUGCGUCGGCCUCGCCCUCGGCAACCUCCUGCUCUGAAAAGUGAAAACUCACCUCCUGCUGUGAAAACCGAAAUUAAUCAAUCAUCCUUGAUUUGAUUUUUGUAAAUCAAGCGCCCGUGUGUGUGUGAAAAUGUUCCUGCUAUCAUCGAUCGAUGCUUGGCAAGGGAACCCCGUGCUCUUGUUGAAAAACAGAUGAAAUCAAGAGGGUUGAUAGAUUGGAGCGGAAGCUGCCGUAUCUGUCUCUGCACGCGAUCAGCAGAUUCGUGCCGAGUCGUAGGUUAGUUAGUGAGUAUGGUUGUUUAAUUUAGCCUGAUCGAUCUGGAUAACAUAUUAACAUCUGGUCCUGGCACAGUGCUCCAUGAGUCAUGACUGCGACAUUUCAGCCGGUCGCCGGUUGGCUUUUGCACAUUUCAGCACAACGGGUAAUGAGCCACUGCCCAUUGAACCCGAGAUGGCUGUCCGAUCAAACUCAC
rnacentral:lncRNA from 1 species